rnacentral:rRNA from 1 species
GACGAACGCUGGCGGCGUGCUUAACACAUGCAAGUCGAACGGAAAGGCCCUGCUUUUGUGUGGUGCUCGAGUGGCGAACGGGUGAGUAACACGUGAGUAACCUGCCCUUGACUUUGUGAUAACUUCAGGAAACUGGGGCUAAUAACGGAUAGGAGCUCCUGCUGCAUGGUGGGGGUUGGAAAGUUUAGGCGUUUGUGGAUGUACUCGCGGCUUAUCAGCUUGCUAGUUGGGUAGUGGAUUACCAAGGCUUUGACGGGUAGACGGCCUGAGAGGGUGACCGGCACCGUCGGGACUGAGAUACGGCCCAGACUCGUACGGGACGCAGCAGUGGGGAGUAUUACACAACGGGAGGAAGCCAGAUGUAGCAACGCCGCGUGCGGGAUGACGGCCUUCGGGUUGUAAACCGAUUUCGCCUGAGACGAAGAGUGAGUGACGGUAAUGGAUAAAGAAGCACCGGCUAACUACGUG